rnacentral:sRNA from 1 species
UGUGAAGCCCAAUGGCGAGAAGCCGGACGAGUUCGAGUCCGGCAUCUCCCAGGCUCUUCUGGAGCUGGAGAUGAACUCGGACCUCAAGGCUCAGCUCAGGGAGCUGAAUAUUACGGCAGCUAAGGAAAUUGAAGUUGGUGGUGGUCGGAAAGCUAUCAUAAUCUUUGUUCCCGUUCCUCAACUGAAAUCUUUCCAGAAAAUCCAAGUCCGGCUAGUACGCGAAUUGGAGAAAAAGUUCAGUGGGAAGCAUGUCGUCUUUAUCGCUCAGGUAUCUGUUCUACUGCUGCAGCACGUUUCUGUUUGUGAAUUUGCUAAAAUUGCUUGUAUUUAGACUGCAUUGGUAGGUGGAGUCAUGAAAACAAUCCUUUUAUGAAUCCAACUGGGUAGAAAGAUAAAGUACAGGCAGAGCGCCGUGGCUUAGGCCUGUAAUCCCAGCACGGGGAGGUGGAGGCGGGUAGAUCACUUUAGAGACCAGCCUGGGCAACAUGUUAAGACCCUGUCUACAAAAAA